CCUACGGGAGGCAGCAGUGAGGAAUAUUGGUCAAUGGGCGCAAGCCUGAACCAGCCAAGUCGCGUGAGGGAUGACGGCCCUAUGGGUUGUAAACCGCUUUUCUACGGGAAUAACGUGCCUGACGUUUCGGGCUUCGCCUGUACCUUAUGCAUAAGGACCGGCUAAUUCCGUGCCAGCAGCCGCGGUAAUACGGUAGGUGCGAGCGUUACUCGGAAUUUCUGGGUGGAAAGCGGUCGUAGGCGGUAUGUCAAGUCACGGGUGAAAGCCCCGGGCUCAACCUGGGAACUGCAUUGGAAACUGGGGAACUGGAGUGUGUGAGAGGAUAGUGGAAGUCCAGGUGUAGGGGUGAAAUGCGGAGAUAUCUGGAGGAACAUCAGUGGCGAAGGCGACCAUCUGGCACAUAACUGACGCUGAGGAGCGAAAGCGUGGGUAGCAAACAGGAUUAGAUACCCCUGUAGUC
rnacentral:rRNA from 1 species